CGAAAUAACUUUUUUUGAUAGUCCGGAAAAGAAGCACGACAAAUAGACUCACCAUCGAGCCUUGCGUCAGCGAACCAUUUCCCCUGGACUACAGUCAAGGAAUCUGUUAUUCCAAUGAAACUUUAAUGGGAGGCUGACGUAUAAAGAACUGCUGUGGUUGAAGAAAAGGAUGGGUGAGGAAGAGGCAAGGCUACAGUCAAAAAACUUCUGUCUAUGAGCGAAAAAGCUGACCUAUACCAGACACUGACUCUGCUGGCACCAAGACCUUGGACUUCCCAGUCUCCAAAACAUGACUCUGGAGCCCCAUGAGAGACGGGAUGAGGAGAAUGGAAGAAGGCUUGCUCAUCUCUUACUCCUUUGCUCAUGCGGUGUUGCUCUUGU
ensembl:lncRNA